CCCCCCUGCUUUAGCCUCUUUGCUACGGCCCUGCUUGAACGACCCACUUAGGCUUAGCUUUUAUGAAACUCACUGAUGAGACACUAUGCAUGCUGGGCAGAUUCAAAUGUAUUGACACUAAGAGCGAAUGACGCUAAAUGUUUUUACUACCGAUGUAUAUUUGCCAAGAAUCACAAGGUUAAUUAAUUAUACAUAUUAGUGACUACCUUAGAUAGGUAUUAUAUGUUGCUACACGGGUAGUUCUCCUCACUUCCACAGUAAAAGCCAUUUUAAUAAACACCUACGUACCUUACUGUAAUAGUUAGUAUAUGGCGUAUGACAAAUCACAGUGGACAAACAGAUGGUCUCUCGAUUGGACGAUAAUUUGAAAGUUGUAGCGGUUGUCUUGUUGAAACAAACGUUGACGACGUAUAUAGAGUACACUAACUUAUAGAUAAGACAAACUUCUGUGUCUAUCGUAGUCCGAAAAUUAACCACAAAGAUAACGUGCUAAGCUUUUCCCCCAAAGACAUAACAAAUUUCUACACUGUAAGCGAAAUUCCUUUGAUUUGAUUUGAAAUGCAAAUUCAAUAUUUAAAGAAACUCAGCGUGA